CGCGGCCUAUCAGCUUGUUGGUGAGGUAGUGGCUCACCAAGGCGACGACGGGUAGCCGGCCUGAGAGGGCGACCGGCCACACUGGGACUGAGACACGGCCCAGACUCCUACGGGAGGCAGCAGUGGGGAAUAUUGCACAAUGGGCGAAAGCCUGAUGCAGCGACGCCGCGUGAGGGAUGACGGCCUUCGGGUUGUAAACCUCUUUCAGCAGGGAAGAAGCGCAAGUGACGGUACCUGCAGAAGAAGCGCCGGCUAACUACGUGCCAGCAGCCGCGGUAAUACGUAGGGCGCAAGCGUUGUCCGGAAUUAUUGGGCGUAAAGAGCUCGUAGGCGGUCUGUCGCGUCGGAUGUGAAAGCCCGGGGCUUAACCCCGGGUCUGCAUUCGAUACGGGCAGACUAGAGUGUGGUAGGGGAGAUCGGAAUUCCUGGUGUAGCGGUGAAAUGCGCAGAUAUCAGGAGGAACACCGGUGGCGAAGGCGGAUCUCUGGGCCAUUACUGACGCUGAGGAGCGGAAGCGUGGGGGGCGAACAGGAUUAGAUACCCUGGUAGUCCACGCCGUAAACGGUGGGAACUAGGUGUUGGCGACAUUCCACGUCGUCGGUGCCGCAGCUAACGCAUUAAGCUCCCCGCCUGGGGAGUACGG
rnacentral:rRNA from 1 species